rnacentral:tRNA from 1 species
AGCCUUGUAUUUUAUUUUAAAAUCUUCGGUUGUGAGACGAGAGAAAGUGGGCUA